AGGUACCCCUUCCAGCCUUUUCUUCCUUCAAUUGAUCGAACAAAUAGAACCACCAUUACAUCACGAUGCUCAUGGGCCCGCCAAUCGCUCGCGUUCGCAACAGUCCUAGCUAGAACACGCCCAUUCCCGCCGCGGGCGCCAUGGUCGCGCUGCCCGCACGGCACCUUUAGCAUCAGUGAGAAGCAGUCCCAAGCCAGGGUAUGCGCAGCCACCCAGGGCACUAGAGACCGCAAGUUGAUGCUAGAGGACGACGUGGAACAGUGCGCAAGUAAAGUGCUCAACGAAAUGUCUUAACUACUUGCUGUUGGUGGUCUUCGCGCAUUCCGCCUAUUGUGGUGAAGAGUCACCGACCAAUGCACUGCUGUUGAUGUCCGUGAUGCCGCCACUUCACCCUCAUGUCAAAUCCCCACUAUAGCUGACGCAGCCCAACCUGCAGGACCCUGGAUGCAGCGGACUUCAUGGACAAAGCCACUGGCUAUGGUUUGCUAACAAUAAAGCAGGAUAAUAUUUUGGUGUACCAAAGUUCUUUAUGACACAAAAUAUAACUAAAACAUAUGUUUGUAUUAGCUUCAUCUAAAAUAAUAUAAACCUUGGUUAAUCAAGUUAGGAUUUCUUACAAAUUGUUUUAUCAAAAACAGGAAGGUUACAAGAUCAAAAGAGCAGGAAAGGAUCAAGACAAGACAAUAGUAACAAAGGGACCUACCAAAAAUUAUCAUUGGGUGCCUCGAUAGUGGAACCACUUAAUAAAGAUUUCUGGGUUACAUUAGGUUCAAUAUCAAGUGAUCUAGCUUCGAAGCAGAAGGGACUCAGGUGACAAGCAAUUGGCAACACAAGCAUUUGAUCGUGCUCGAAGCAUUGAUCCCUCAUUUGCCUUGCCAUGGGCUGGAAAUAUCUCUACAGUUGCCAGUGGACCUGUGAGUUACAAAUGGCUGGGAGUCCCGGUGGGUGCAAUCUGAUUGUAAAAGGAGUGAAGGGAAAGCUGGAAGGUUAAAGCACACGGCCGGAACAUACUCUGGAGAUUCUGAUGCCAAAGAUUUAUUUUUCAUCCCUCGCACAUUUGUGUUUCAAUUGACUAUGAAUACAAACAACAAUGGAUGCUAGGCAUUUUCCUAUCUCAGCGAAGUUCCCACAAUUCAGUAACAAGAACAGGACACUGGUGGUCCAGUACUCCAUCAAGUUUGAGCAGGAUAUUGAGUGCGGUGGUGGAUAUAUUAAGCUUAUGUCCGGUUAUGUCAACCAGAAAAAUUUAGUGGGGACACUCCAUAUAGCCUCUAUUGUUAGAACUGUGGAUUUUGCUGCUGAGGUACAAGAUGUGCUUAGAAAUCUUAGUGGCAACAGGGAAUCAAUGAAGGGAAUAAAGUCAUGGUUUAUGCAGAGGGCAGAGGGUGCUGUUUGUGUCGGCUCUGCCUCAAGUUCUUAAGGAAAGAGUAUUUGCCUUUGAGGAUUCAGAGGGGCAGCUGCACAUUAUUUUCCUGGUGAAUGAUAUUUUGUUUGAAAGGUA